UACGGAGGAUGCAAGCGUUAUCCGGAUUUAUUGGGUUUAAAGGGUGCGUAGGCGGAUAUGUAAGUCAGCGGUGAAACUCACAGGCUCAACCUGUGCCGUGCCGUUGAAACUGUGUAUCUGGAAUGCGGAUGCUGUGGGAGGAAUGUGUAGUGUAGCGGUGAAAUGCAUAGAUAUUACACAGAACACCGAUUGCGAAGGCAGCUUACUAAUCCAUCAUUGACGCUGAGGCACGAAAGCGUGGGGAU
rnacentral:rRNA from 1 species